GUGAUUAAAGUUAUUAGUUAAUAUUUUCUUGUCGAGAAAAAGAACUUCUAAUUCUG
rnacentral:tRNA from 1 species